GUAAAUGUGAUGUAAACAUCUCUAAGUAAAGAUGGCUUCUGCUCAGUGGAUGUGAUCUUACAGGGAGCUCAUGUGGGAAGAUGCUGCACACUGGAGCCCCCCAGGAGGAGGAAGAGGUUGCUGCUGUGGACCGUGUGUGGGGCUGCUCUCUGUCCUGGUGAGGCACUUUGGUCAUCUCUUCAGGCUGCUCUUCAGCUCUAUUGCUCUGUGAGUCUACGGUCAGCACGGGGAACAAGGGGAGUGGAACGGCAGCGUUGGCAAUUUGGCGAGCUCUCCACAUUCACUUUGUGCCAGAACCAGCCGAGACCAAGUGGGAUCCUCAGACCAUGGACAACCACUGCUCACCCACCAGUGUGCACGGAGUUGCUGAGCAGUCAGUCGGUGUUGGCUGGGCGUUUUCCUCUGAUCGCUGCCGUCUGUACCUAGGGAUGCAUGCUUCAGGAUCAAGGCAGUCUAUGGCACGAGAGGGCUGGGGCAGCUGUCAAAGCGUUGAGAAAUUACUGAGGGAGGCGAAAAGCGACAGCCACAGACUACAGAAAGCUGUAGGCAAGUGGGGGAAGACGACGAGUGGAGGCCAGCACAGCCUGCCGUCAUUUCAUGCGCGGACAGCCCUGCCUGCAGCAAACACACCACGCAAACCAGCAAUGCUCAGAGCACCAGCAAGAGCAAAUUGGACAGCUGUGGGGAAAAAUACAUUUCACUGUGGCUGCACCACUAUGAAAAUAGCCUAACCUGCCGACAGGACUGCCUGCGAGUGUCUAUCUAACACAGCAGGCCAAAGCGAAAGGUGCCAAUUUGCUGUGGCACAAUGCAUGCGCGCAGCAACUUCUGGCAAAGACGUAUAUGAGAGGCUAAGUCCAUCCUUGCAUCCAAAGCGAAGUUCAGAAAGGAAAUAGUUCAGCUCUGCAUAAGCAGUUCAGGUUCCCACAUGUGUGCCUUUCCCGCACACAGAAGGGUUUGCGACAGGGACUGGAAGUGCCCACUGGCAGAGACCCCAGGGGUGCCAUGGCCCAUGUGCCUGAGGUCCCAAUAUGCAUUUCCUCCUCUUCUCAGAUGCAGAAUAUUUGGUAGAGUUUUCUUCAAGGCCACAGCUAUCAUUGGACCUGUAAAUGAUUGCAGUAGCACCAGCUCCUGUCCUUGGCUGUGCUUCU